rnacentral:rRNA from 1 species
AUUGAACGCUGGCGGCAGGCCUAACACAUGCAAGUCGAGCGGAUGAAGGGAGCUUGCUCCUGGAUUCAGCGGCGGACGGGUGAGUAAUGCCUAGGAAUCUGCCUGGUAGUGGGGGAUAACGUCCGGAAACGGGCGCGAAUACCGCAUACGUCCUGAGGGAGAAAGUGGGGGAUCUUCGGACCUCACGCUAUCAGAUGAGCCUAGGUCGGAUUAGCUAGUUGGUGGGGUAAAGGCCUACCAAGGCGACGAUCCGUAACUGGUCUGAGAGGAUGGUCAGUCACACUGGAACUGAGACACGGUCCAGACUCCUACGGGAGGCAGCAGUGGGGAAUAUUGGACAAUGGGCGAAAGCCUGAUCCAGCCAUGCCGCGUGUGUGAAGAAGGUCUUCGGAUUGUAAAGCACUUUAAGUUGGGAGGAAGGGCAGUAAGUUAAUACCUUGCUGUUUUGACGUUACCAACAGAAUAAGCACCGGCUAACUUCGUG